rnacentral:rRNA from 1 species
UACAGAGGUCCCGAGCGUUGUUCGGAUUCACUGGGCGUAAAGGGUGCGUAGGUGGUUAGGUAAGUCCGAUGUGAAAUCUCCAGGCUCAACCUGGAAAUGGCAUUGGAUACUAUUUAGCUUGAGGAGUGGAGGGGGGACUGGAAUUCUCGGUGUAGCAGUGAAAUGCGUAGAUAUCGAGAGGAACACCAGUGGCGAAGGCGAGUCCCUGGACACUUCCUGACACUGAGGCACGAAAGCGUGGGGAGCAAACAGG